CACCUCUCAGGGUCACACGUGGAGAGUUUCCAGUAAUCUACCAGUCUCGGCUAUGGGAGGAAGAGUCGAGCAAAGGCAUACCCAUUCCAUUCCUAGCUUGGCUAGUGGCUAGCAAGUGGAAGGCAAUCUGCUACAAGU